GUUGUGGAACACAAGUUUGAUGCACAUUUCUUUUUAUAAUUGCUGCUCAUAAUUUUCAUGACAAUGACAUUGAUCUGUUUGCUCUUUCAUUUUUCUCUUUCUUUUUUGAUGAAUGUCUUUUUGCUUUUUAUUUUUUUUGUUUCGAAUCUUCUUUGCGUCUCUUACAGGAUCGCGAUAGUUAUUGGAAGAUGAUGCAGAAAUAUAUAGGUUCAGAUGUUACAUCAAUGGUGACGCUUCCAAUUCUUAUAUUUGAGUCCAUGACAAUGAUUCAGAAAGUGGCAGAGAUGCUGGAGUACUCCCACUUGUUAGACCUGGCUGAUGAAUGUGAGGAUCCCUACAUGCGGAUGGUCUAUGCUACAUCAUGGGCAAUAUCUGUUUACUAUGCCUAUCAACGAACCUGGAAGCCCUUCAAUCCCAUCCUUGGUGAGAUUUAUGAAAUGGUUAAUCAUGGUGGCAUUACAUUCCUUGCGGAGUAGGUGAGUUAUCAUCCUCCAAUGAGCGCGAGGCAUGCAGAAAAUGAUCAUUUUACCUAUGACGUGACAUCCAAGUUAAAGACCAAAUUUCUGGGAAACUCCAUUGAUGUGAUUCGGUCCUUCUAAAUGCACAUUAGGUAUAUUGGAACAAACGGUGAGAUUGAUGAAUGAAUGGUGGCCCACUUCAUGUUAUCUUUAUAUCAAAAUUCUCACUAGUUACUUGUGGCGGAGGAUGAUGAUCUAGCCAAGUUUUCAAUGGUGACUUUAAGAUGGUCUAUCAAGGCCAGAUUGUGAUCACUGGUUUUGUCAUGUUCGCUUCUAACUCACUGC